UACGAAGGGGGCUAGCGUUGCUCGGAAUCACUGGGCGUAAAGGGUGCGUAGGCGGGUUUUUAAGUCAGGGGUGAAAUCCUGGAGCUCAACUCCAGAACUGCCUUUGAUACUGGACGGAUCUUCGAGUUCGGGAGAGGUGAGUGGAACUGCGAGUGUAGAGGUGAAAUUCGUAGAUAUUCGCAAGAACACCAGUGGCGAAGGCGGCUCACUGGCCCGAUACUGACGCUGAGGUGCGAAAGCGUGGGGAGCAAACAGG
rnacentral:rRNA from 1 species